ensembl:lncRNA PRSS40A serine protease 40A (pseudogene)
GGGAAGCAGGGGCAGAGCGCUCAGGCCAGGGCCGGCGGGGGCACUGCGCACUGGCCGCCUCCCUCCUCUGGCCAAUCCUCCUGCCGCUGCGCGUCUAGUCCACCUCGUCCCUCUCUGCAGGUCCACUAACCCAUCUGAUUACCGGAUCCUGCUUGGGUAUGACCAGCAAAGCCAUCCCACAGAGCACAGCAAGCAGAUGACAGUGAAUAAGAUCAUGGUGCACGCUGACUAUAACGAGUUGCACCGCAUGGGGAGUGACAUCACCCUGCUGCAGCUGCACCGUCAUGUGGAAUUCAGCUCCCACAUCCUCCCCGCCUGCCUUCCGGAACCAACCACGUGGCUGGCCCCUGACAGCUCCUGCUGGAUAUCUGGUUGGGGAAUGGUCACCGAGGAUGUCUUCCUGCCUGAGCCCUUCCAACUUCAGGAGGCAGAGGUCGGUGUCAUGGACAACACUGUCUGCGGAUCCUUUUUCCAGCCCCAGUACCCCGGCCAGCCAAGCAGCAGUGACUACACCAUCCACGAGGACAUGCUGUGCGCUGGGGACCUCAUAACAGGAAAGGCCAUUUGCCGAUGCGGGGAACUGAGGCCCAGAGAGGAAGUGUAUCACCCAAGCGAGACUCCAGGGGUCCCCUCGUCUGCCCAUUAAAUGGCACCUGGUUCCUGAUGGGGCUGUCUAGUUGGAGCCUCGACUGCUGCUCACCCGUCGGUCCCAGGGUCUUCACCAGGCUCCCCUACUUCACCAACUGGAUCAGCCAGAAGAAGAGGGAGAGCACCCCUCCAGAUCCCGCCUUGGCUCCUCCUCAGGAAACACCCCCAGCCCUGGACAGCAUGACCUCUCAGGGCAUCGUCCACAAGCCCGGGCUCUGCGCAGCCCUUCUGGCUGCUCACAUGUUCCUCCUGCUGCUGAUUCUCCUGGGGAGCCUGUGAAGGGCCAGGGCCCCUGGCCUCUUACCACAAGCAUGCCCACCUCAGGCCGGCCUCCUUGCUGAGCUCUGCACACUCCUGACGUGUUUCCAUCUCUGAGCUCUCCUGUCCACCCAAGGCCACCCCUGCCUCAGGCCUGACAAACUAAAAACCACCCAAGAAGCUUCUGGCUCUGGUUUCUGGCCCACCAGAGCCAUCUCCCAUGCUCCACUGUGUCUCCAGCUCCUCAGGGAGGGAAGGUCUCCCUCCUCCCUGGGCAGGGUCCAGGCUGACCAUAUGGGAGCCAAGUCACUCUCCUUGGGAAGUUGGGUCGCGCAGACUCAGGCCCCAUUCGGGUCCUCCAGGGCAUGCAGUCUUCCAGAAAAAUGGGGCCAGGGCCUCCCCACAUGGAAGAAGCUGCCUGUCCUCCUGGAGCUGGGUGUUGUGCACCGGUCAGGGAUGAAGCGGCAUCUUCCAGGUGCGCAGGUCACAGAGGCUCUCCUCGACAGCUUGCAAGUAAACUGUGAAGGGGGCUGAGGUCUUCGGUCAGCAGUACCAGAGCUGUGUCCCAUGGGUCAGCUCUCAGCUGACUGCCCCCUGUACCCGCUGCCCUGCCCUCUCCCUGCCUCCAGAAACCCAGCCCCCAUCCCUGUGGCUUGCUCCAGCUUGUAGGGGUUGUGGCUUAGCUGACCCAGGACUUGCUGGUCCAGCACUGAGCCCAUAAACCAGACUCUGAGUUGCCCCUGUAAA